AAAUGUUACAAGACAACAAUAAAUUCACCUAUUACAAAAUGUAUUCGUGUUUUAUUUAGUACUUUUUGUAAUAUGUGAAUUUUUUCUUUAUGAGAAUUGUGAUCUUAUUAAAUUUAAUUAAAUGGAGGUCAUUUAAAUGACACAAGGUACAGUAAAAUGGUUUAACGCAGAAAAAGGUUUUGGUUUCAUCGAAGUUGAAGGCGGAAACGACGUAUUCGCUCACUUCUCAGCAAUCCAAGGCGAAGGUUUCAAAUCUUUAGACGAAGGUCAAAAAGUUGAAUUUGAAAUCGAAGACGGUCAACGUGGCCCACAAGCUACAAACAUCGUAAAACUUUAAUUUUAAUGAUGUAACGAUAAACUGCAUCCCAAAUAUGGGGUGCAGUUUUUU
rnacentral:sRNA from 1 species